rnacentral:rRNA from 1 species
AGAGUUUGAUCAUGGCUCAGGAUGGACGCUGGCGGCGUGCUUAACACAUGCAAGUCGAACGAAGCACUUUAUUACGAUUUCUUCGGAAUGACGAUUUGGUGACUGAGUGGCGGACGGGUGAGUAACGCGUGGGUAACCUGCCUUAUACAGGGGGAUAACAGUUGGAAACGGCUGCUAAUACCGCAUAAGCGCACAGGGUCGCAUGACCUGGUGUGAAAAACUCCGGUGGUAUGAGAUGGACCCGCGUUGGAUUAGCUGGUUGGUGAGGUAACGGCCCACCAAGGCGACGAUCCAUAGCCGACCUGAGAGGGUGACCGGCCACAUUGGGACUGAGACACGGCCCAAACUCCUACGGGAGGCAGCAGUGGGGAAUAUUGCACAAUGGGCGAAAGCCUGAUGCAGCGACGCCGCGUGAGCGAAGAAGUAUUUCGGUAUGUAAAGCUCUAUCAGCAGGGAAGAUAAUGACGGUACCUGACUAAGAAGCACCGGCUAAAUACGUGCCAGCAGCCGCGGUAAUACGUAUGGUGCAAGUGUUAUCCGGAUUUACUGGGUGUAAAGGGAGCGCAGGCGGUACGGCAAGUCUGAUGUGAAAGCCCGGGGCUCAACCCCGGUACUGCAUUGGAAACUGUCGAACUAGAGUGUCGGAGGGGUAAGUGGAAUUCCUAGUGUAGCGGUGAAAUGCGUAGAUAUUAGGAGGAACACCAGUGGCGAAGGCGGCUUACUGGACGAUAACUGACGCUGAGGCUCGAAAGCGUGGGGAGCAAACAGGAUUAGAUACCCUGGUAGUCCACGCCGUAAACGAUGAA